rnacentral:siRNA from 1 species
UUUGAGUGCUAUUUUUGUUCAA